CUUCUGCAGCAUUAGGACCCUUUUAAAUGUUCCUGCGUGCACGCUGCCAUGAUCCUUCAUUAUGCGGAUGUUUGUGGGCUAGGAGACAGUGACAAAUUUGCUUCUUUCGUAUUAGUUAAAAUAUCUUUUUGGUUUUAUAUUAUAUAUACACGUUUACUUUGAAAAUGUCGAUAGUCUGUGCGUUUACCUGAAAGCAGUAUCUGUAAAAUAACUGACGUUGGCUGCUCACGGCCUCUCCCUCGUGGUCGUAAUUUUAUUUAGUUAAGCAUUUUUAUCGAAUAUGACUUGAUAAUUUUUUAGUAAGCUUUUGAAAAUGCUUGCUGCUUAUAAAUAUUGUUGUGUAGAGAACCAAAGUCCAAGAAACGGUGCGAAAGGGCAAACGCAGAUUUCUUGUUGGAUGGCAGGCCGUUGACGCCAACUGUUGACAACCAUUAUGUUGGAUGAGAGAAAUUGAGGCUGGUAGACGAUGCCAACAGUUGACGACCAAUUGGUUGGAUGGAAGAAAUUGAGGCCAGUAGAUGAUGCCAACAGUUGACGAUCAGUUGGUUGGAUCAAAGAAACUGAGGCUGGUAGUCGAUGUCAACAGUUGACAAUAAAAUGGUUAGAUGAGUGAAAUCAGUUGCCUUGUAGCAGAUGCCAUCUUUCAGCAAAAAAAAGAGUUUGGAUGAGAAAAACAGAGGCUGCCAGGUAGCUGAUGCCAACAAUAGGCGACCAAUGGUUUGGAUCAAACUGAAGCUGCUAGAUAGCUGAUGCCAACAAUACACAGCCAAUAGGUUGAAUGGAACAAAAGCCUGCUGGCUGAUUCUAAGUUGACAUCCAAUGGGUUUUCAACUACAGGGUUCGAAGCCAACAUGGAUGUCUUGGAUUCAUGAAUCUGCUUAAAGGUUGACGAGAUGCCAGUGAAGGGGUGCUGCAUACACAUGAAUGCGGAGCCGUGUAAAUACUGGUUCAGUAAACCUAGCUCUUUUUCUUGUGUUAAUGAUGACUGCGUUUGUUCGGUUCCACUGAAAGUCAAUGAAGUAACUUUCUCGCGGCGCACUGAAACACUGACAGACAAUGCAUGAACUUUUAUUUCAUGUCUUGUUGUCUAAUACAAUUUUGUUUUCUUUCAAGGAUGUGACCGAAGAGGAGCUGUGACUGGUUUGCUGCACAAUGGUGAAUUAAAAUGAUAUACAUCAAUUUAAAUGCUUGUUUAGUGGCAUUCAAUAGACUGUUUGAGUUAAUUUUCUCAUUUUCAGUUUUAUAAACUGCUUUUUCAACAGAGUAUUGCUUUUAAUAAACAUCAGAACUAAAGUGAAAAGUUGUCCAUGUUUGUUUUUUGCAUGAAAUAAAAAUAUUGCGUAUGGUUUUAACUUUUAGUCAAUAUAACAUUCCUAGGCAGAAAUUAUUUAUGCAAUGUAUGAACUGGGUUAUUCAUAAAAUGUAUGUAUUUAUUUAUAAUAUAAUCACUUUGUAUUAGCAUUUUUGUAUUCACGUCUAUGUGAAUUUGAUUGAUUCAACAUGUAAUUCCACCCAUUUGUUGGUUCGCGAAGGACUUUUAUUAUAGAAACGUGCUUUCAGGUUUACAUCUCUUAUUUUACAUGACUUCACGUAGCGUAAACUAAAGACGCCGUUACAUAUUCAUGUCUGCGACUAGCAGUCUAUUAAGUGCGUACAUCCAUAAAAAAGGACUUUAUUUGUCCAGAUGUAACGUCACAAAUCUUAUGGUGAAGGUCGUUUUGUUGCGAUGACUUAAUGUUACCGGGUUGUGCACGUAAGUACUGCGUAGCAACGCCCGAUUAGUGAAUGAAUUGUUCUAACGAGUCGGAUCGUUUGAGUGAACCAGUUGAAGGGGGUUACGGGCUUUGUUUGGUUCAACAAAAGUCUCCGCCAUACAUUAAAAAAAAGGUUUAAAGUAUGAAUUAAAGUUAUAAUUGAUAUAAAUUGAAAUGACAAAAUGCUUAAAUAUGAGUUUAGUUGCCUUUCUUAAAAAGUAUCAUUUAUCCCUGUAGUUGAAAAAAAAUUAUAUAAAAACGUCUACUAAAUCCUCACUAAAAACGUAAAAAAUCCCAGCACUGGCCGCAAGCGUAAGAUUUUAUUCGGAUGUUCAAGCAAUGACUGCCUGUAAGUGGCCUGUGAUUUCAACGUAAAGGAAUCCCUAUUGAAUUGGUAAACUAAACCAAUUCAUUAAAAUACGCCGUUUGAAAGAGUCGAUUCUUUGAAACGAGUCAGUCUGCUUAUUCCUAGUCAAGUAAGUUAAACUGGCUCCCGCACGAGUUAAGACGACACGACGGCAGUUUGCGUUUCGUGUUUAAAAGAACCUUAUGAAUUUCGUUGGUUUGUGUUAUUUGGCUGUCGUCGAGCUGUUUAUUUGCUAAGCUGUUAAAGUUUGAUCACGUCUAUACCGGGUGUUAAUGAACGGGUAUGUGAAGCUGGCUUCGAUAAGUGUAUACAACUGUUUUUCACCUAUAGCAGAUGGGCUGUAAUCUCUGGAAGAUGUACCUGCCUGCAUUUAGAACCAACAAAACUAAAGAUUUCUCGUCGUAGGUAUGUUUGAUUUAUCUUGUCAAAAGCGAUUCGCCGUUUGACAUCAAUACAGUUUAGCAUUUCAAGUUGUGGAGACGAUCCUGGAUGUGAAGCUUGCUCAGACAUGCUAACAGACGCCGUUUCGCCUGAGGAAAAUGCUGCUUGAGACCAAGCAAUGCUACCACGGUUGCUGACAAACUGAAAACCCAAGAUAUUUCAUUGAAGAUUUCCUCUUUCAUCAACACCGACCAACAAGAUUCUUAUCAGCAAGAGAAAAGCACCCUAAACGCACCAGCACAUCUUCUUCUCUCCAUUGAUGAACUUUUUUUUCCUGACCUUAAAAUAUAGAUCUAAUAACCCCCCCCCCCACCCCCCCCCCCCCCAAAAAAAGAUUUGCAUAUCAUACCAGCACAACACAUGGAUAAGUAGAAAUAUAAAUAUUGAAAAGCAACAGUGACACUGCAAAGAAUGGAGGAAAAAGUCACCUACUAAACUGAAGAACCAGCAUUGAAUGACUGAUUGAUUGUCAGGGAUAUUACAGAGACUUUGAAUGGAAUGCCACAUGAUUUUAAAGGCUUAACCAAAUAAAACGAUAAGUUGAUUUAAUGUCCACGCUGUAUGUACUGCACAUCUGCAUGUGUCACUUUAAUCAUAGCUGGGUGUUGCCUCAAACAGCGUCUCUGAAUUGUUCAUAUCUAAUGUGUGCUCGUCCGUUUAAUGGAUUGAGUCCAUUAUAUCUUCCAUCCUUCAUUCAACCCACUUGUUCACUUCUAAACUAUCUCAAUGAACUUUUAUAGAGCAGUUGUAAAGGAUCUGGAUGCUACUUGUACUUAAACCACUUUUCAAAAGCAGCAAAUCUGCACACUACUUUAUUGAUUAUAUUUUCCAAUCUUUUAACCCGGUAAACAUGGCAUUAAAACCACUCUGUUUGACAAAUGUUAAUGUAAGCUUCAUAACAGCAUGUUUAUGAUUGAUUUCAAAUGUAUUGCCAUUCUUUAUUUCAAUCGAUUAUAUCUUUUGUGCCUCAUAAUGUCUGGUUAUUUGGCCAGUUCACAGGGAAUUAUGGGUAACGAAGUUUAGUAAUUUUGCACAGCUGCAUUAUAUCCAAUGCUUUGUUGCACAAAUGUGUUUAGCGCUUGCAAGAAUAGCUUUCUCUUCCCGAAUGUGUUCAACAAAUAGCUUUUUAUCUAUGCAUGUUAAGAUAGAACUGCGGAAAACUCUUACAUUGUGAAUGACUUUGUUUAUUUUAGGGUACUGGCUCGAACGUUGUUCACGUUUGUUAUUUAAGCAUUAAACUUAAAGUAGCUCUAGAAUCGUCGUUUACUUCAAAUUUGAGCAAUGCAAGAAAACAUGUAACCAUUUAAAGGGUCUUUAAAAUGUUUUUCAUUUUUGUAAGUCUUGAGUCCACCAAUGUGUGGACCACUGCUGAAGCCCUGAAGGCUGUGAAGAGAAAUGAAAUCUGCUGUAGGGUGAUGUCGAUUGCAGCUCAGAGAUUGAUGUAUUAAAGAUUGUGGGACACAGAUGGAGAGACCUACAUCUACAGUUCUUAAGUGCUAAACACUGAGUCUUUAAUAGUCUUUACAGUUUAAAAUAAAUUCCUUUCUCCACA